AUUGUGCCCCAACUUGUGAAGCUUUUGGGAGCUACCGAAUUGCCAGUUGUGACUCCUGUGCUGAGAGCCAUAGGGAAUAUUGUCACUGGGACAGAUGAACAGACUCAGGUUGUAAUUGAUGCAGGAGCACUUACUGUCUUUCCCAGCCUGCUGACCAACCCCAAAACUAACAUUCGAAAGGAAGCUACAUGGACAAUGUCAAACAUCACAGCUGGCCGUCAGGACCAGAUACAGCAAGUUGUAAAUCAUGGACUAGUCCCAUUACUUGUUGGUGUUCUCUCUAAGGCAGACUUUAAGACACAAAAGGAAGCUGUAUGGGCUGUGACCAACUAUACAAGUGGUGAAACAGUAGAACAGAUUGUAUACCUCGUUCAUUGUGGCAUAAUAGAACCGUUGAUGACCCUCUUAACUGCAAAAGAUACCAAAAUUAUUUUGGUUAUUCUGGAUGCCAUUUCAAAUAUCUUUCAGGCUGCUGAAAAACUAGGUGAAACUGAGAAACUUAGUAUAAUGAUUGAAGAAUGUGGAAGUUUGGACAAAAUUGAAGCUCUACAAAACCAUGAAAAUGAGUCUGUGUACAAGGCUUCAUUAAACUUGAUUGAGAAGUAUUUCUCUGUAGAGGAAGAGGAGGAUCAAAAUGUAGUACCAGAAACUACCUCUGAAGGCUAUACAUUCCAAGUUCAGGAUGGGACUCCUGGGACUUUUAAUUUUUAAAUUGUAUAGCUGAGGCACAAAGUUGUCGUGUACUGCAUUUGGUAUAAGUUUGUCUUACUAUUUCUCUACUACGAACUCUUUUUAAAUGUGGUUUGUUAAUGUAGCACUUUUUACAACAAAACUAUACUUGAACAGUUCCAAACUGUACAUACAUACUGUAUGGAGCCUAUCCUCUGAAAGGGUUUCUUAUUUCUAUGUGGAAUUUCAUAUCUUGCAGUGUCCUGUAAAUAAAGAUUAAAGUC